AACAAACGCUGGCGGCGUGCCUAAUACAUGCAAGUCGAACGGGGAAAGCUUUCGGGUGAGUACUAGUGGCGCACGGGUGAGUAACGCGUGGAUAAUCUGCCUUAGAGUGGGGGAUAACUAGUCGAAAGAUUAGCUAAUACCGCAUAAGACCACAAGAACUGCGGUUCAAGAGGUCAAAGGUUUUUCGCUCUAAGAUGAGUCCGCGUAAGAUUAGCUAGUUAGUGAGGUAACGGCUCACCAAGGCAACGAUCUUUAACUGGUCUGAGAGGAUGAUCAGUCACACUGGAACUGAGACACGGUCCAGACUCCUACGUGAGGCAGCAGUAGGGAAUAUUGCACAAUGGAGGAAACUCUGAUGCAGCGACGCCGCGUGAGUGAUGAAGGCCUUCGGGUCGUAAAGCUCUGUCGCAGGGGAAUAACACAAUGAAUGUACCCUGUAAGAAAGGAUCGGCUAACUUCGUGCCAGCAGCCGCGGUAAGAC
rnacentral:rRNA from 1 species